rnacentral:lncRNA from 1 species
AUGAGAGUAAUGGGUUUUCACACCCAGAGGCUGCCUGCUGCCUCUGUGCUCUCACCUCCACACCCAGCCUGUCCUUGCAGCAGCUGUGGCCAAUUCCUUUCUGCUCUGUCUCCCUCUGCUCAGGCUGGGGUCACAGCAGUGUGGUGGGGUCAGCCUUGUGUGGGGAGGAACACUCAGCAUAGCUUAUUGCUAAGGAAGAGCUGGGAGGUUUCUGUCCUGUUUUGUUCACUUGGAAAAUGUAUUGAUUGCUUAGUGGCACAUUUUUCUGGUAAACAGGGCAUGGAUGGUGUAUGGGAACUGGACCUGGGGAAGCUAACCCCACACUGCUAUGAUAUAGACCUUGUGAUGUGCAGCAUUUCUCCAUCUGCAGGAUUGUUCUUCUGUUUGCUCAGCUCAAUGAAGAUUUAAACUGAACAGAUGGUCAUGUUCCUUCAGAUUUUCUUUCUAGAAUAUUCUGACCUUUUUUAGCCUGUAAGGAUUUUUUUCUCCAAGCAAAAGUAAAAGCAAGAGUAUAUCUUGGUUGCAUUGGGUGUUACAAAAGUGAUCUCUGCAGGUCUCUGAGUCUUAGGACUUCUCCCAGCCGCUGCUCUGUGGGAGACAGUACCCUUGGACUUCUCUACUAGGUGUUGGAGGUGGAGGCCUCACAUCACUGAUGAGGCCUAUUCCCACCCCAUUAUAUGCAUGUUGACCAAAGCUAGGUUGAAUUUUCCAGGUCCAGCCUCAAAAAAUACCAUCUCCCAACUGACAGGGAUGGAGGCAACUGUUUUGGUUAGCUUAAGGGGCAGGUAGGGGUCAACAGAAAGCUGUCUACCCCCACCCUGUGGCUUAUUUUGGCCCUGAGUGGCCUUGGUCCAAGGCUGCUUACUUUAGUCCAAGAUGGAGCUGGCCUCACCCCCUGAUGAAAUAUUGCCCUCCUGCUGAGAGCUCAGCACAUGGGGGAACCAUGGGAGCACAGACAACCCCUGGCCUAUAGCCACUCUGUGCCCUGCCACCGAUAAACUGGCAUGACUUGGCAGCAUUCAUUGUAGCCAUUUGGGGGAAAAUAGGAAAACACCUACAAAAACAGGGUAGAAACCCCCCUGCAAUACCACCAGCUGGACACAAAGCACUCUCAAUGUUAUAUUUUUUUUCCUACCUACAAAGAGAACGGAUACUACGACAGUUUUGUUUCUGACUACCCUGGCCUGCAGCGCCUCUCUCCAGCCCCUCCCAGCAUCUUCCCUAGAUCCGUCUCACGCAUCAAGGUGGGGUCUGGGCUCCUGGGAGGGACAGUGUGUCAUAGUGCUCUCUGUGGCCUCCAGCUCAAGUAUCUUGUGAACCUGCAGCAGAGUGACAGCAAGCCAGGGGUUGCUGCUCCAUCUGUUCUUCAGGAGCUCUGGGGGCUGAGCAUCACUUUAGACCAGGACAGAGC